AAAUGCCCUGCUUCCAGGAAAAGCCUCUAAGCAUCAGGUAACAUCAAAUCGUACCCCAAACCGACACAGGUGGUCAGGUAGAGAAUACCAAGGCGCUUGAGAGAACUCGGGUGAAGGAACUAGGCAAAAUGGUGCCGUAACUUCGGGAGAAGGCACGCUGAUAUGUAGGUGAAGCGACUUGCUCGUGGAGCUGAAAUCAGUCGAAGAUACCAGCUGGCUGCAACUGUUUAUUAAAAACACAGCACUGUGCAAACACGAAAGUGGACGUAUACGGUGUGACGCCUGCCCGGUGCCGGAAG
rnacentral:rRNA from 1 species